GACGGAGGAUGCAAGCGUUAUCCGGAAUGAUUGGGCGUAAAGCGUCCGCAGGUGGCAGUUCAAGUCUGCUGUCAAAGACCGGGGCUUAACUCCAUAAAGGCAGUUGAAACUGUGAGGCUAGAGUGAGGUAGGGGUAAGGGGAAUUCCCAGUGUAGCGGUGAAAUGCGUAGAUAUUGGGAAGAACACCGGUGGCGAAAGCGCCUUGCUGGACCUGCACUGACACUGAGGGACGAAAGCUAGGGGAGCGAAAGGG
rnacentral:rRNA from 1 species